AUGAGUCUGACUCACAACUGGAGACCUUUUCUCACCAUGAUGGCCAGUGCAAAGGCAAGGGCACUCCCAGCCCACACACUGCAUUCGUGCAGUCUCUCAGGUACUUGUUUCACCUGUUUCACAUACUUUAAAAUAAGUGACUGUACCUCACUUCUUAAAUUCCAAGGUACUUCAGUUCCAGGCCUGCCAGCCAGGCUGGAUGAUACUGUCCCUUCUGCUGACAGGAGCACAAAGCGGGGAGCCUACGAGACACACUCAUUGAGCCACAGGCCUGUCACAGGCAGGCUCUGGUGGAAGCAGGUCUCUGGGUUAGGAGGCCUUAUGUGAAAGUGGAACUUCCAGAGGAUGAAGAAGAGAAGCACCUCUCUCUCUUUGUUGAGAGUAUGAAGAACCUAGACACCUACCUCAUACAUGCAAGUUAGCUGCCUAAAGUUCGACAAUGUAAGAAAACUAAUGCUGAAUGCUCUACACAAAAAGCUGUGGGCAUCGGGAACAACUCCCAUACAGACUAUCUGAGCUGAUACUGAUAUGAUCUAAGCCUCACUUUCCUCUCUUCUAUCACUUAGAAAUUAGAUUUUUGUUUAAAAACACCAUCAGGGAACCCAAGCAAUCUCUCCAGUUUCGGGGUGCUAAAGCAUAUUCAUUAAAAUGCCCAGUUUGGAGAAGGCGAUGUUUUAGAACACUAACAAUGCUUAAAAUGCAACGUUAACAGUUCUACAGGCCAGAAUGGCUGAACGUGUGACAACACUCAACAAGCUUGAAAUUCACUGGGACAAGGCCCACACUUUCCUUUCAUAUUAGCUCAGCACCUAGCACCUGCUUCAUGAUUAGUCCUAAUAAAGUAUCUAAAAUACAACA
rnacentral:lncRNA from 1 species